UACGGAAGGUCCAGGCGUUAUCCGGAUUUAUUGGGUUUAAAGGGAGCGUAGGCCGCCCCUUAAGCGUGUUGUGAAAUGCCGCGGCUCAACCGUGGCACUGCAGCGCGAACUGGGGGGCUUGAGUGCACGCAACGCAGGCGGAAUUCGUGGUGUAGCGGUGAAAUGCUUAGAUAUCACGAAGAACUCCGAUUGCGAAGGCAGCUUGCGGGAGUGCGACUGACGCUGAAGCUCGAAGGUGCGGGUAUCGAACAGG
rnacentral:rRNA from 1 species